AGCUGCGUGGCCGCAAGGUUUUAGAGUCUGCUUUGUCAAGCUUUGUCGGUCGAUAUCAAAAAUGAAUAAACAUGGGUUUAUUCUCAGGUUCCCCCAUCACUUACUUUUUCUUUACGUUCAAUUCUAUAAUACCUUUGUGUGAAUUUCUCUUAACAAAAAUAUAACUUGAUUUUAGUUGAAAAGUAUUGCAGUUUUAGAAAUAUCUUGCAUUCAUUCCUAGGGUCCAAUGAAAAACAAUAAGAAAGGUGAGUACGAUCAGCCAAUAUACUUGUUUCGGGAAAAAACACGUUUAAAAGUACGUGGUCCCAUAAGCUUUUUUACUGGUUAGUGGAACAAAAUGCUUUGUGAGAUGAUAGUUUACGACAUCAAAUGUUCAAAAUUUUGAGUUGUGUCACUAACCGACGAUAUAGUGGUAUAUUCACUUCUUCACAAUGCACUUCGUUUGGAGAUAAACACUCUGGCGAUACGCUACAGUUUUCAAGGAAUCAUUUGAAUUCUUGGAAAGCUGUUAAUUGACUUUUACUCUUAUCCAGCAAACUAUUUUACUACCGGAAACACCCGACUUUGCAGUGUAAGUAAAUAAGAAAAUAAUUGCAAGUGAUGAAUAAAAUUUAUUUUUUUGUCAUUAUGAAUAGCUUCAUGUUAAUUACGAGCGAGAUCUGUACGCGGCCGUAGUCACAGGAAGCUGAGGUCUAUACCGGGUGCGCUUGAAGCUUCCAAUGCCGAACUUGAGUGAAACAUACCAGCACGAGAGCAUGAAAGAGAGACUGCUGCUGCUGGACUACUGCUGCUGUUGGGACCACUGUUGCUGCUGGGACUAUUGCUACUGCUGCUGGGACUGCUGCCGAGUUGUUGCCACCAAGCAGUUCUGUGGAAACUCUAGGUACAACUAUUACUACAUGGUCCAACGAUCAACUGUAAAGCUCAGAAAUAUUCAAAGGGAUCGGUAAACUUGCUUCAGCGGGAGAACCUGGACUGAUUCGAAAAAUUAAGCGAUUGCGACAUCGAUCGGGCAAGCAAGCCUACACAAUCGGAACGCUGCAUUCAUACACAUAUCCUGUUGUUACCAGAAAAUGAUUUAUUUAAAGAACAAACAAA